UUUCCAUAUCUUAAGUAAGUCCUAAGCGUGUCCUUUGUGUGUUUGACAGGUCACCCACUGGCUGUCCUGGCAAGGAGAGUGGCCACAGAAAAAUCUCGGUGUGGUGGCGUUAUUACUAACUCAUCUGGAGCGAUUAGGAAUCCCCCACAGAAUGAAAUGCAUGACAACAUCACUUGUGUGUGGGAAAUCAAGGCGAAUGCAUCUGAUCAUAUACUGCUGGCAUUUCCACAUCUUGAUCUCGACUGCACCAAUGAAUAUUUUGAAAUCCUAGACGGUCCUCCAUCCUCAGCAAAGUCAUUGGGGAGGACCUGCUCUGGCUUCC